AUUGAACGCUGGCGGCAUGCCUUACACAUGCAAGUCGAACGGCAGCACGGGAGCAAUCCUGGUGGCGAGCGGCGAACGGGUGAGUAAUAUAUCGGAACGUGCCCGGUCGUGGGGAUAACGUAGCGAAAGCUACGCUAAUACCGCAUACGAUCUACGGAUGAAAGCGGGGGAUCGCAAGACCUCGCGCGAUUGGAGCGGCCGAUAUCAGAUUAGGUAGUUGGUGAGGUAAAGGCUCACCAAGCCGACGAUCUGUAGCUGGUCUGAGAGGACGACCAGCCACACUGGGACUGAGACACGGCCCAGACUCCUACGGGAGGCAGCAGUGGGGAAUUUUGGACAAUGGGCGCAAGCCUGAUCCAGCAAUGCCGCGUGCAGGAUGAA
rnacentral:rRNA from 1 species